rnacentral:piRNA from 1 species
UAACUUGUAACUAAUUCAACUUUUGGGG